rnacentral:misc_RNA from 1 species
GUGACAUGUGUGCUAGGCAUACAUCACGUGUCUCGAACACACUGAGGAGCCAAAUUUAGUAUUUAAGUUGAGAAGGAUAGAAGGACGGGCCAGUAAUCGACCAAGUUUCAGAGCUGGAGACAGUGGAUUUCUCAGUUAUCAUAAAGAAAAGAUGUCCUCAUUUAUCAGCCUUAGGCUUUGGUUCAACGGUUAAGAUAGUACAACGCGAGUUUUGUAG